AGCAUUUCCUUCGCCUUCUGGAGAAUACAAAGGAUUUGAAUAUGCUCAACACUACUGAAUGACAUGAAGAGCUUCGGACAGUGUUGGAUUAAUGCGUCUGCAGUACAAAACUUCUUUCAUCAAGUCCUUAACAUAUCCUGAAAAGCAAAUCAUUAUUUAUGUUGGCUUUGCAUUGCACUUUGAGAAAA